GAUGAACGCUGGCGGCGUGCCUAAUACAUGCAAGUCGAGCGAACGGACGAGAAGCUUGCGUCUCUGAUGUUAGCGGCGGACGGGUGAGUAACACGUGGAUAACCUACCUAUAAGACUGGGAUAACUUCGGGAAACCGGAGCUAAUACCGGAUAAUAUUUUGAACCGCAUGGUUCAAAAGUGAAAGACGGUCUUGCUGUCACUUAUAGAUGGAUCCGCGCUGCAUUAGCUAGUUGGUAAGGUAACGGCGUACCAAGGCAACGAUGCAUAGCCGACCUGAGAGGGUGAUCGGCCACACUGGAACUGAGACACGGUCCAGACUCCUACGGGAGGCAGCAGUAGGGAAUCGUCCGCAAUGGGCGAAAGCCUGACGGAGCAACGCCGCGUGAGUGAUGAAGGUCUUCGGAUCGUAAAACUCUGUUAUUAGGGAAGAACAUAUGUGUAAGUAACUGGGCACAUCUUGACGGUACCUAAUAAGAAAGCCACGGCUAACUACGGG
rnacentral:rRNA from 1 species